UAAAUAGAAGCCAAAAAGAGGCACCUAACUGUUAAUUAGAUCAUUGUUAAUCUUAACCUAUUUAA
rnacentral:tRNA from 1 species